rnacentral:ncRNA from 1 species
ACAAUAACGUUGAAGAGAAGAGUAGUAUAUAAGAAGCUGAUGUAGCGAGUCCUGGUUGGUGAAAGAGGGACAGUAAGGUGUAUAUGAAGAUGGUCUUGGAGUUGUCUAAAUGAGCUUUUGUGAGUUUAGAUCGGUGGUAUCCGUUAACGUACAAGCACGUGAUGGCGUGUGAUAAGGUGAUGCUUGCAUCACGAAAUUAGGUGGUACCACGAAACUUUCGUCCUAAGG